rnacentral:rRNA from 1 species
GAUGAACGCUGGCGGCGUGCUUAACACAUGCAAGUCGAACGAUGAAGCCCAGCUUGCUGGGUGGAUUAGUGGCGAACGGGUGAGUAACACGUGAGUAACCUGCCCUUGACCCUGGGAUAAGCCUGGCAAACUGGGUCUAAUACUGGAUAUGACUUCUCAUCGCAUGGUGGGGGGUGGAAAGAUUUAUUGGUCUUGGAUGGACUCGCGGCCUAUCAGCUUGUUGGUGAGGUACUGGCUCACCAAGGCGACGACGGGUAGCCGGCCUGAGAGGGUGACCGGCCACACUGGGACUGAGACACGGCCCAGACUCCUACGGGAGGCAGCAGUGGGGAAUAUUGCACAAUGGGCGCAAGCCUGAUGCAGCGACGCCGCGUGAGGGAUGACGGCCUUCGGGUUGUAAACCUCUUUCAGUAGGGAAGAAGCGAGAGUGACGGUACCUGCAGAAGAAGCGCCGGCUAACUACGUG